CACCAAGUCCGAGGUUCCGGCACUCACCGGGGCCUGGUGCAAAAGGGA
rfam:Streptomyces sp. WAC00263 NODE_1930_length_3553_cov_5.355756, whole genome shotgun sequence.